AGUGGCAUGAACCGGUGCUAGAAUUCCUUGUCCAUGACUUUUUAUGUCAAUGGCUCCAAGGAAUCUGGCUGAAAUCAGACGGUCACAACUUGAUCUGGAUAAUACCAGCGAAAGGAUCAUGCUUUCUGUCCUC
rnacentral:ncRNA from 1 species